rnacentral:snRNA from 1 species
UAGUGUUACAGCUCUUUUAGAAUUUGUCUAGCAUGUUUUCCAGUCCUCAUGGGAAGACCCUC